UACGUAGGUGGCAAGCGUUAUCCGGAUUUACUGGGUGUAAAGGGCAUGUAGGCGGGGAAGCAAGUCAGAUGUGAAAACCACGGGCUCAACCUGUGGCCUGCAUUUGAAACUGUUUUUCUUGAGUACUGGAGAGGCAGACGGAAUUCCUAGUGUAGCGGUGAAAUGCGUAGAUAUUAGGAGGAACACCAGUGGCGAAGGCGGUCUGCUGGACAGCAACUGACGCUGAGGCGCGAAAGCGUGGGGAGCAAACAGG
rnacentral:rRNA from 1 species